ensembl:miRNA MIR933 microRNA 933
ACUUGGGUCAGUUCAGAGGUCCUCGGGGCGCGCGUCGAGUCAGCCGUGUGCGCAGGGAGACCUCUCCCACCCACAGU